rnacentral:rRNA from 1 species
UACGUAGGAGACGAGCGUUGUCCGGAAUUACUGGCGUAAGCGCGAUGUAGGCGGAUGAGCAAGUCUGCUGUGAAAGCUCCUGGCUUAACCGGGAGUGGUCGGUGGAAACUGCUCGUCUGGAGGACGGUAGAGGUAGGUAGAAUUCCCGGUGUAGUGGUGAAAUGCGUAGAGAUCGGGAGGAAUACCUGUGGCGAAGGCGGCCUACUGGGCCGGACCUGACGCUGAGACGCGAAGGCGUGGGAGCGAA